GGGAAUGUCAGCUGGCAAAGGCAGCCUCACCCUGGUUGUUUUAGGCAUGUUACCCGUUUUGGUACUGGCGUCUGCAUCUUUCUGACCCUGAGACCUCUGCACUGAGGGAAGAGGAUCCCUAGGGGCUGGCUCGGGAAGGCCAGUGUAGUCAGUGACUUCUUAACCUCAAGAUACUAAUUAAAAAAUGCCCUUGAUUCAGCUCCAAGUCAGAAUUACCACCGAGAACCCAGGGCUGCUGGAAGCUGACAUGUCUCCUGAGUGUAUGAUUUUUGG